UACAGAGGGUGCGAGCGUUAAUCGGAAUUAUUGGGCGUAAAGAGCUCGUAGGCGGCUCGGUAAGUCAGGUGUGAAACCUCCAGGCUCAACCUGGAGACGCCACCUGAUACUGCUGUGGCUAGAGUCCGGUAGGGGAGCGUGGAAUUCCUGGUGUAGCGGUGAAAUGCGUAGAUAUCUAGAGGAACACCAGAGGCGAAAGCGAAUCACUGGACAGAACCUGACGCUGAGGCACGAAAGCUAGGGGAGCAAACGGG
rnacentral:rRNA from 1 species